GGGUUGUGAGGUUAAGCGACUAAGCGUACACGGUGGAUGCCCUGGCAGUCAGAGGCGAUGAAGGGCGUGCUAAUCUGCGAUAAGCGCCGGUAAGGUGAUAUGAACCGUUAUAACCGGCGAUACCCGAAUGGGGAAACCCAGUGUGACUCGUCACACUAUCAUUAACUGAAUCCAUAGGUUAAUGAGGCGAACCGGGGGAACUGAAACAUCUAAGUACCCCGAGGAAAAGAAAUCAACCGAGAUUCCCUCAGUAGCGGCGAGCGAACGGGGAGGAGCCCAGAGCCUGAAUCAGCAUGUGUGUUAGUGGAAGCGUCUGGAAAGUCGCGCGAUACAGGGUGACAGCCCCGUACACAAAAGCGCAUGUGUUGUGAGCUCGAUGAGUAGGGCGGGACACGUGGUAUCCUGUCUGAAUAUGGGGGGACCAUCCUCCAAGGCUAAAUACUCCUGACUGACCGAUAGUGAACCAGUACCGUGAGGGAAAGGCGAAAAGAACCCCGGCGAGGGGAGUGAAAAAGAACCUGAAACCGUGUACGUACAAGCAGUGGGAGCACAGGUUUACCUGUGUGACUGCGUACCUUUUGUAUAAUGGGUCAGCGACUUAUAUUCUGUAGCAAGGUUAACCGUAUAGGGGAGCCGGAGGGAAACCGAGUCUUAACCGGGCGUUAAGUUGCAGGGUAUAGACCCGAAACCCGGUGAUCUAGCCAUGGGCAGGUUGAAGGUUGGGUAACACUAACUGGAGGACCGAACCGACUAAUGUUGAAAAAUUAGCGGAUGACCUGUGGCUGGGGGUGAAAGGCCAAUCAAACCGGGAGAUAGCUGGUUCUCCCCGAAAGCUAUUUAGGUAGCGCCUCGUGAACUCAUCUCCGGGGGUAGAGCACUGUUUCGGCUAGGGGGCCAUCCCGGCUUACCAACCCGAUGCAAACUGCGAAUACCGGAGAAUGUUAUCACGGGAGACACACGGCGGGUGCUAACGUCCGUCGUGAAGAGGGAAACAACCCAGACCGCCAGCUAAGGUCCCAAAGUCAUGGUUAAGUGGGAAACGAUGU
rnacentral:rRNA from 1 species